UCUUCAUUUCACGUGCUCUCUCACCGGUCAGAGAGGCGAGAGUGCAUGUGCAAUGAAGAGA
rnacentral:pre_miRNA from 1 species